rnacentral:rRNA from 1 species
UACGGGGGGGGCAAGCGUUGUUCGGAAUUACUGGGCGUAAAGGGCUCGUAGGCGGCCAACUAAGUCAGACGUGAAAUCCCUCGGCUUAACCGGGGAACUGCAUCUGAUACUGGAUGGCUUGAGAUUGGGAGAGGGAUGCGGAAUUCCAGGUGUAGCGGUGAAAUGCGUAGAUAUCUGGAGGAACACCGAUGGCGAAGGCAAUCCCCUGGGCCUGCACUGACGCUCAUGCACGAAAGCGUGGGGAGCAAACAGG